GACGAACGCUGGCGGCGUGCUUAACACAUGCAAGUCGAACGGUAAGGCCCUUCGGGGUACACGAGUGGCGAACGGGUGAGUAACACGUGGGUGAUCUGCCCUGCACUUCGGGAUAAGCCUGGGAAACUGGGUCUAAUACCGGAUAGGACCACUGCCUGCAUGGGGGGUGGUGGAAAGCUUUUGCGGUUUGGGAUGGGCCCGGGGCCUAUCAGCUUGUUGGUGGGGUGAUGGCCUACCAAGGCGACGACGGGUAGCCGGCCUGAGAGGGUGACCGGCCACACUGGGACUGAGAUACGGCCCAGACUCCUACGGGAGGCAGCAGUGGGGAAUAUUGCACAAUGGGCGCAAGCCUGAUGCAGCGACGCCGCGUGAGGGAUGACGGCCUUCGGGUUGUAAACCUCUUUCAGCACCGACGAAGCGCAAGUGACGGUAGGUGCAGAAGAAGGACCGGCCAACUACGUGCCAGCCGCCGCCGUAA
rnacentral:rRNA from 1 species